CCUACGGGUGGCAGCAGUGGGGAAUAUUGCGCAAUGGGCGAAAGCCUGACGCAGCGACGCCGCGUGAGGGAUGAAGGUUUUCGGAUCGUUAACCUUUGUCAGAAGGGAAGAAGUUGCAUGGGGCCAAUCCUCUGUGCAUUGACGGUACCUUCAAAGGACGCACCGGCUAACUCCGUGCCAGCAGCCGAGGUAAUACGGAGGGUGCGUGCGUUAAUCGGAGUUACUGGGAGUAAAGCGAACGUAGGUGGUAUGUCAAGUCAAGGGUGAAAUGGCACGGCUCAACCGUAGAACUGACUUUGAAACUGGCAAACUGGAGUAUGUGAGAGGGUGGCGGAAUUCGUGGUGUAGGAGUGAAAUCCGUAGAUAUCAGGAGGAACAUCAGUGGCGAAGGCGGCCGCCUGGCACAAAACUGACGCUGAGGUGCGAAAGCGUGGGUAGCAAACAGGAUUAGAUACCCGAGUAGUC
rnacentral:rRNA from 1 species